GGAGAGGUGGCCGAGCGGUUGAAGGCGCACGCUUGGAAAGCGUGUGUAGGUUAACCCCUACCGUGGGUUCGAAUCCCACCCUCUCCGCCA
rnacentral:tRNA from 1 species